UACGUAGGGUGCAAGCGUUAAUCGGAAUUACUGGGCGUAAAGAGCUCGUAGGCGGUCUGUCGCGUCUGCUGUGAAAACUCGGGGCUUAACCCCGGGCCUGCAGUGGGUACGGGCAGACUAGAGUGCGGUAGGGGAGACUGGAAUUCCUGGUGUAGCGGUGAAAUGCGCAGAUAUCAGGAGGAACACCGGUGGCGAAGGCGGGUCUCUGGGCCGUAACUGACGCUGAGGAGCGAAAGCAUGGGGAGCGAACAGG
rnacentral:rRNA from 1 species